CCUUGUAAUAUUAUCCUGGCUACAAGCCUGUCUACAAACUACUAAUAUUUGAUCUUACUCUUAAAUUCAACGCGUGUAGCAUUGUAAAAUAUAUAUCACCCUUAUUCAUACUUUCUAGGUUCACACAAUGUUCAUUGCGACACCAUUGAUUAAGUUUUUAUUCCGAACCAAUACUUAGAACAAAUAUCAAUGAUAUACCGCAAGAUCGUCAUGCAAUCGAUAAAAAAUAAAGACAACACGUUAAAAACACCAGGCAUUUGUGGAUUUUCAUUAAUCAUGAAUUACCAAAAGCCGAAUAUUCGAAAGCCAAUGGUUUAUAAAAACUGCAAUAGCUGAUUAAAAAUUAAAGAUGAUUGUUCAAAAUUGUACGUUCAAUAAUUUCAUCUGCCG
rnacentral:lncRNA from 1 species